GCUUCCGGCCACACCUCCCUGAGCACGCCCGAUCUCCUCUGAUCUCGGAAGCUAAGCAGGGUCGGGCCCGGUUAGUACUUGGAUGGGAGACCGCCUGGGAAUACCAGGUGCUAUAAGCC
ensembl:rRNA 5S_rRNA 5S ribosomal RNA